CCUACGGGUGGCAGCAGUGGGGAAUAUUGGACAAUGGGGGGAACCCUGAUCCAGCCAUGCCGCGUGUGUGAAGAAGGCCCUCGGGUUGUAAAGCACUUUCAGUGAGGAAGAACGCCUGGUGGUUAAUACCCAUCAGGAAAGACAUCACUCACAGAAGAAGCACCGGCUAACUCCGUGCCAGCAGCCGCGGUAAUGCGGAGGGUGCGAGCGUUAAUCGGAAUUACUGGGCGUAAAGCGCGCGUAGGUGGCUUGAUAAGCCGGUUGUGAAAGCCCCGGGCUCAACCUGGGAACGGCAUCCGGAACUGUCAAGCUAGAGUGCAGGAGAGGAAGGUAGAAUUCCCGGUGUAGCGGUGAAAUGCGUAGAGAUCGGGAGGAAUACCAGUGGCGAAGGCGGCCUUCUGGACUGACACUGACACUGAGGUGCGAAAGCGUGGGUAGCAAACAGGAUUAGAUACCCUGGUAGUC
rnacentral:rRNA from 1 species